rnacentral:lncRNA from 1 species
GAUUAAAUGUCCAGCAAACGACGGCAGUGUUGCCAGAUUCCUUUUAGCGGGAAUUUUAAAAUUUUAUAGCAGUUUGGUUUUAAAUUUGACAGUUCUGUUUUCUCAAGUCAAAAAUCUUAACCUUACUUUUACAAGUGAUUAGGAUUAUUAUUAUUAUUAUUUUAUUUACAUGUAAAUUGAAACAAUAAAUAUUGUACUGUGUCAUAAUUUCAAACUCAUUAUGUUGCAGUCUUUUCCAGUUGAUAAAAUUGCAAUUCAAAAACUUUUAGAUUUGCACUGUAUGGAUGGCACAGGAAGAGUACAAGAACAUGAAACAUCUUAUUAUGAAUGUAUAUGUAUGUGAUCCUCAAAAAAUUAUUUUACAAAACAAGAUAGAGAAAGAGCUUUAAAAUCCCAAGGAUCCUGCAAAAUGUUUAUUUGGUGUACUAGUCGAAUAAUAGUAUCUAAAAAUAUUGAAACUAUUUUAAAACACAUUACGCGCAUGAGGAUGAUAUAGAGCACUUACAUAAAUACCAAAAUCAGAUAAAUAUCUCUUCAAAGUUUAUUUUGAGACUUUCUUCAAAAAUCAAACUUCAGACUGUUCAGGAGAGCAUAAUAGCAUAGGAGGCGAAUUAAAAAGAAUUAAUUUACUUACAAGAAAAGAUAUCACAAACAUUAAACUCUCUUAUGGCAUUGAUUUGAAAGAUGGAUAUAUGUACAAUGAUGAUGCAACCAGUGUUUAUUUUUGGGUUGAAUGCUUACAGACUCAUGUCCAAUAUUAUUUUACAAACAACAGGGCAUACUAAUGGAUAUUCAUUCUGAAUUUAACAUUUAUGAUUUUUGUCUUAUUUUCCUUAAUACUGUGCCAAAAGGAAAUGUUAAUUAAGUUUGGUAAAUCCUUUAUCGCAAUCGAUGGAACUCAUGGGCUCAAUUCCUAUGACUUUGAACUUAUGACAGUAUUAGUGAAAGAUGAAUUUGGGAAUGGAUUUUGUACUGCUUUCUUAUUUUCAAAUAGAAAAGAUAACUACUUUAAUUGACCAAUUUUUUUAAAUACAUGUCUGUGUUGGUAUUAUAUGUAUAGUCAAAUGUUUUCAUAUCAGGCAUAAGCGACACCUUUUACAAUGCCUCGUCAAAUGUAAUGGGUAUUGCUCCUAAUAGACUGUUAAGUGCCUGGCACAUAGAUAGGGCAUGGUAAGUAAAUCUUAAUAAAAUAUCUGAUUCUGAAAAAAAUCCUAUUAUGUAUACAAGAUGUAUUAAUGAUGGUUUAGAGAGUAUUAAUAGCUUUUUGGGUAGACUUUUAAGUGAUGCAAAUACAUACAAUUUUAGUAAGUAUUUCCAGUAGAACUACUGCAAUAACAUCCAACAAUGCGCCUAUUGUUAUAGGAAGGGGUUGUGGAAUUAAUACCAAUAUAUGACCAUUCAAAAUUUUCAUAAAAUUUUGGAUAAAAGGGUAUCCAUUAGUUGUUAUCAGUUAAGUUUAAAACUUGGCACUCAUGGAGAGCUAUACCAUAAUAUAUAAUAGGUAUAUCUCAUAAUAUUACAUCUCAUAUUGUUCACUACAGUAGUAAUGAGUGAGCCUGCAUACACAGAACCAUAAUAAUAUAUUAUAGUU